ensembl:lncRNA
GUCAAUGUGGAGGCUAUAUACAGGGUAUUACGGUACAGAGUCAAUGUGGAGGCUAUAUACAGGGGGUACUGGUACAGAGUCAAUGUGGAGGCUAUAUACAGGGGGUACCGGUACAGAGUCAAUGUGGAGGCUAUAUACAGGGGGUACCGGUACAGAGUCAAUGUGGAGGCUAUAUACAGGGGUACCGGUACAGAGUCAAUGUGGAGGCUAUAUACAGGGGGUACCAGUACAGAGUCAAUGUGGAGGCUAUAUACAGGGGGUACCAGUACAGAGUCAAUGUGGAGGCUAUAUACAGGGGGUACCGGUACAGAGUCAAUGUGGAGGCUAUAUACAGGGG